CACAGGUGCUGCAUGGCCGUCGUCAGCUCGUGCCGUGAGGUGUUGGGUUAAGUCCCGCAACGAGCGCAACCCCGCCGUUAGUUGCCAGCGGUUCGGCCGGGCACUCUAACGGGACUGCCCGCGAAAGCGGGAGGAAGGAGGGGACGACGUCUGGUCAGCAUGGCCCUUACGGCCUGGGCGACACACGUGCUACAAUGCCCACUUACAAAGCGAUGCCACCCGGCAACGGGGAGCUAAUCGCAAAAAGGUGGGCCCAGUUCGGAUUGAAGUCUGCAACUCGACUUCAUGAAGUUGGAAUCGCUAGUAAUCGCGGAUCAGCAUGCCGCGGUGAAUACGUUCCCGGGCCUU
rnacentral:rRNA from 1 species